rnacentral:rRNA from 1 species
GUCUAAUACCCCAUAACACUUAGUAAGGCAUCUUACAGAGUUGAAAUUUUCGGAGGUUAUGGAUGGGCAUGCGUGACACUAGCUAGAUGGUGAGGUAACGGCUCACCAUGGCGACGAUGUCUAGGGGGACUGAGAGGUUAACCCCCCACACUGGUACUGAGACACGGACCAGACUCCUACGGGAGGCAGCAGUGAGGAAUAUUGGUCAAUGGACGGAAGUCUGAACCAGCCAUGCCGCGUGCAGGAUGACGGCUCUAUGAGUUGUAAACUGCUUUUAUACGAGGGUAAAGUGAGGUACGUGUACCUUUUUGAAAGUAUCGUAUGAAUAAGGAUCGGCUAACUCCGUGCCAGCAGCCGCGGUAAUACGGAGGAUCCGAGCGUUAUCCGGAUUUAUUGGGUUUAAAGGGUGCGCAGGCGGCUUUGUAAGUUAGAGGUGAAAUUUCGGUGCUCAACAUCGAAACUGCCUCUGAUACUGCAGAGCUAGAGACCAGUUGCAGAAGGCGGAAUGUGUAGUGUAGCGGUGAAAUGCUUAGAUAUUACACAGAACACCGAUUGCGAAGGCAGCUUUCUAAGCUGGAUCUGACGCUGAGGCACGAAAGCGUGGGGAGCGAACAGGAUUAGAUACCCUGGUAGUCCACGCUGUAAACGAUGAUAACUCGUUGUCGGCGAUACAUAGUCGGUGACUAAGCGAAAGCGAUAAGUUAUCCACCUGGGGAGUACGUUCGCAGAAUGAAACUCAAAGGAUUGACGG